rnacentral:lncRNA from 7 species
GUGGACAUAGACCAUGCAUUGCACUGAAACAUGUGAUCGAAACGGUCCGAAAAUUUCUAGCUGUUGCCUUUGUAGUUUGAAUGAAUGACGCCGGUGUUUGGUGUGAAUGAGUCCAAUAUAUAUGUUGGAACUCAUUCGUGCAUGGAAUUCAAAAUAUAUGUACAUAAGUCCAUGUUCGUGUGGGGAAAUCGCAGGGCCAAGCUGCCGAACUCUCAAAUGUAAGGGGAAAAAAGAAAUUUUAAUUCCACGUAUAAGUGUUAGUUUGGA